rnacentral:rRNA from 1 species
AUGCCACCGGAUAGAGACAUUGAGUUUUUGAUCGAACUUUUGCUAGACACAGGGCCAAUAUCUAAGAGACCGUAUAGGAUGCCCGCAAAGGAUUUAGAGGAAAUUAAAAAGCAGAUUAAGGAGUUACUGGAUAAAGGAUAUAUUCGCCCAAGCUCGUCACCUUGGGGAUCACCAGUGCUUCAAGUGGAGAAGAAGGAUGGAUCGCUGAGGAUGGUUGUUGACUAUCGUGGAUUGAAUGAGGUGACGAUCAAGAACAAGUACCCACUACCGAUGAUCAAUGAUUUGUUUGACCAGCUGCAAGGAGCUAAGGUGUUUUCCAAGAUCGAUCUGCGACUAGGGUACCACCAGCUGAAGAUUCGAGAGCAGGAUAUACCCAAGACAACUUUUACCACAAGGUACGGGCUAUAUGAGUAUACCGUUAUGUCAUUUGGUCUGACUAACACACCUGCCUAUUUCAUGAACAUGACGAACAAGGUGUUUAUGGAGUUUUUGGAUAAGUUCAUCGUGGUGUUCAUUGAUGAUAUUCUGGUCUACUCGAAGAAUGAAGAAGAGCAUAAGGAGCAUCUGCGUUUGGUACUUGGAAAGCUCAGAGAACACCGGCUAUAUGCCAAGUUCAGCAAGUGUGAGUUUUGA